rnacentral:rRNA from 1 species
CAGUAGCCACGGUAAAACGAAGGGUGCAAGCGUUAAUCGGAAUUACUGGGCGUAAAGCGUGCGUAGGCGGUUUGUUAAGUCUGUUGUGAAAUCCCCGGGCUUAACCUGGGAACUGCGCUUGUGACUGCACAGCUAGAGUAUGGCAGAGGGGGGUGGAAUUCCACGUGUAGCAGUGAAAUGCGUAGAGAUGUGGAGGAACACCGAUGGCGAAGGCAGCCCCCUGGGCCAAUACUGACGCUCAUGCACGAAAGCGUGGGGAGCAAACAGGAUUAGAUACCCCCGUAGUCCCUGUCUCUUAUAC